rnacentral:rRNA from 1 species
CCUACGGGUGGCAGCAGUGAGGAAUAUUGGUCAAUGGGCGUAAGCCUGAACCAGCCAAGUCGCGUGGGGGAUGAAGGUUCUAUGGAUCGUAAACCUCUUUUAUAAGGGAAUAAAGUGUGGGACGCGUCCUAUUUUGUAUGUACCUUAUGAAUAAGGAUCGGCUAACUCCGUGCCAGCAGCCGCGGUAAUACGGAGGAUGCGAGCGUUAUCCGGAUUUAUUGGGUUUAAAGGGUGCGUAGGGGGCAUGUUAAGUCAGGGGUGAAAGUCUGUGGCUCAACCAUAGAAUGGCAGUGGAUACUGGCGAGCUUGAGUAUGUUUGAGGCAGAGGGAAUGCGUGGUGUAGCGGUGAAAUGCGGAGAUAUCAGGAGGAACCCCGGUGGCGAAAGCGGCCUGCUGGGCCGUAACUGACGCUGAUGCACGAAAGCGUGGGGAGCAAACAGGAUUAGAUACCCGAGUAGUC